rnacentral:lncRNA from 1 species
AUGGCAGGCUUGCUAUUGCCAGCAAAAGAGGAUGAAAGGUGCAGGUGUGAACUGAGAGUGUUACCUGGAUGCCCCAACUCCUCUGAUCUGCGCUCAACGUUGUCUCCCUUCUAUUCCAUCCACCCACCGCCUCGCAGCGCCCACUCUUGCCUUGAGAGAAGGCUGCUCCUGGUGUCGCUCCCUGGGUAGAAAGAAAAGAGUGGUUUGGGGCUAUCAGGCCAAGGAUCAGGCCCUUUGUCUCACAAGGCUGCUAAUGGAGAGAAGAGGUCACCCUGAAUUUGUGGGUAAGGUUGGAAAAAAACAAACAAACAUGUACAAGAUAUUACUUUCCUGACCUU